GUUUUUAGUUCAUUGCUCCGCAUUUCAAAAUUAUUUUCGUGUCUUGCAUUUCAUUAUCAAUAUUGCAAAUGAUUACAAAUUUGUACCUAACUAUGACGCAUAAAAUAUAAUAGAUAAUAAACAAUAUUUUACUAUAAAAGCCCAAGCGAUUAUAAACCCAAACAUAAAUCAAUUCCACAUACAAGAAUAAACAGUUCUACCAAUAUUUAAAUAACAAUUUAAAAAUGGUUAAAUUUAUUUUGCAAGCUGUACUUCUAUCAACUCUCCUGGCUAUGGUAUUAGCUCAAAGAUGUCCUCAUACUGUAGAACCACCUUGCAUGUCUACACUUCCUUGUGAAGAAAAUUGUAGUGAUUCGCCUACAGAAUGUGCAGAGGUAAAUGGUAAUGCUGGCGUUCUUGCUCCUGGCGGAUGUAAUUGUUGUAAUACCUGCGUGUACAUAGUCAAAAACAAUGAACAAUGCGGUUAUAAUGGGACAACACAUACUUCCUUUGAGUGCCGCUGCAAUUUCCAGUGUGUUGAUGGUGUAUGCCAACCAGAAAACAAGCCAUGGUGGCCAUAGGAAGAAGAUGUAGAAGAAGAAAAUGUUAGUUUGGAAGUGUUUUCAAAACAUUGUUAGCUCUUGUUGUUAUAAUGAUUGAGCGUUGAAAUAAAAUAUAUUAAAAUAA